rnacentral:misc_RNA from 1 species
CAACCCUCAAGCUCCGGCUUGGUGUUGGGGAUCGGCAGCCCGGCUUCGCGCCGACGCCGUCCCCCAAAUGCAGUGGCGGUCACGCUGUAGCUUCCUAUGCGUAGUAGCACACCUCGCACUGGAGAGCAGCGCGGCCACGCCGUAAAACCCCUACUUUUGUGG